rnacentral:rRNA from 1 species
UACGUAGGGUGCAAGCGUUGUCCGGAAUUAUUGGGCGUAAAGAGCUCGUAGGCGGUUUGUUGCGUCGGCUGUGAAAUCCCGAGGCUCAACCUCGGGUCUGCAGUCGAUACGAGCAAACUAGAGUGUUGCAGGGGAGACUGGAAUUCCUGGUGUAGCGGUGAAAUGCGCAGAUAUCAGGAGGGAACACCCGGUGGGCGAAAGGCGGGGUCUCUUGGGCAACAACUGACGCUGGAGGAGCG